ensembl:lncRNA
CACUUGCAACAAAAAUACCGUGGCGACCAUGAUGAUACACACGAAGGGAGGAUUUUGAUCCAAAUGAUGUGAGCUCCGUUUUUGGGCCGCUAUUAAGAUUGAAGGUGAGAGGGCUGGACAGCCGGAAGGGACAACUGCACCGCUGCCAGAAGAGGAUUGCUUUUUCAGAUCUCUCUCUCUCUACCCCCCCUCCCCUUCCCCCUCCCCCCCCCCCCCCCCCUCCCUCCUCCUACCGGACCUCUGCCUCCCUCCCCAGGACCACUCAGAGAACUCUUAACCUGACGGCCGCACCCCCAUAUUUCCCCCACGUAACGCCUUUCCCCACCCCCCCCACCCCCUUCCCCCACCCAGAGCACACAUGGAUCAGAGGACUCAGGGGGGACCCACCACGCCACCCCCCCUCCCUGCCACAGCUCCCUCGGGUGAGCGCGAGAAGGAGGGAGUAGGUGGGAAAAAGGAAGAAGAGGAGGAGAAGAGAAAGAAGGAACGGGAGGGGGCAAAGUCGGAGCCUGGUGUUGGCACUGAGGGUGCACCAGGUGACCAAUCCCAGCAGCAGCAGCAGCAGCAGCAGCAGUCCCCUCAGUUCUCCGUGAAGGAGGCCACUUACUCAGAGGGCAACGUCAAGAUGAAGAUCGGCCUCCAGGCCAAACGCAUGAAGAAGCCCCCCAAGAUCCUGGAGAACUACGUGUGCCGACCCGCCUUCCGGGCCACUGUACGACACUCUGGAAGAGGAGGGGGAAGGGGCAGCAGGGGAGCAGGGGCGAACGACACAGCCGCCGCUGCUGCCGCUGCCGCCGCCGCCGCCGCCACCGCUGCCGCCACCACCACCACAGCCAACACCACCACGACCGGUGGCCACACGCAGAGCCCGUCGCAUGGGAAAGAGGCGGAGAAGAGUCAGAGCGCCACCACACGACCUGUCCCGCCCCCAGCACAGACCCCACCCCCUCAAACCCCACCCACAUCCACAAGCCCCAUCAAUCCAGUCAAUGGAAGCCCACCAGCGAAGAGGGCUCUCCCGAAACUGGUUAGCAAGUCUGACAGCAAACCCGAGGGGAAGACAGCGGCCUCCAUAGAGAGACCCCUAAAUCUCCACCGCCCGCUGCCAGACACAAAGUUGCACUCCUCUGCCAAGAAAUCUCCCCUAGCCCAGCCGAGCACCCUGCCCACCCCCAGCCCGACUCCUCCAGCACCCCUGGCACCCUCCAAUCACGAGCCCAAGAUGGAGGGGGUCAUGAAGCCUCCCCAGUUUCCGUUCGGAGAGGCUCAGCGGGAGCAGGACCGAGGGGGCGCCCCCGGCUGGGGCUCGUCAACUGUCACAGAGAAGCUAGCGCAGCUCAUCGCCACCUGCCCCCCUACAAAGUGCCCCAAACAGCCCAAAGUUCGUAAGCCUUCCCCCUCGGCCUCGCACAGCAACUCAGUACCCCUCAUCUCCAACCUGCAGAGGCCCGAACGGGCCAUGGCCAACAGAGCCACCUACUCCAGGAUCCAGCACCUGUCCCCUCCCCCACCCGUGUCACGGCCCCCUGGCCGGCCUUACGGCUCCCGCAACAAAGACAGUGUCAUGGACAAGCUGACGUCUGCCCCCCGGAAGGAGGAUGUCGAUGGCGGGGUUAAGGGGAACACCAGCAGCAGUAGCAGCAUCAGCUGUACCUCCACAGCAACCACCACCACCGCCACCAACUCUGCCCUUCCCUAUGGCAACAGUCGCUUAGCAACCACAGCUAAUGACAACGACAACAACAGCAACAGCAGCAACAACUACAUCAAGACUCAGUCACGGCUCACGCACAGUUCACCUCACUCUUCUUCCUCACCUACCCUGUCCUCCGCUUCGUUAUCAGACCAGAGAACAGGAAGUGGGUCUGCACACAUAGGGGCCUCUUCCAUGCUGGGUCCUCGACCGAGGCCCAGUCCCUCCCAGACAGAAGAGAACAGUGAGAAAGAAAGAGAGCGAGAGCGGGACUACAGGGACAGAGAUUGCCCCAGAGACUUGAGCAAAGGGUCGUCCCCCUCUGGGUUGGGGAAGCCUGAGGCGAAAGAGAGAGGGUUGGCCUUGACCGCCAGAGGCGAGCGUGGGAAAAGCUCCAGCCCAGCCAAACACAGCCCGCUCCGGGAGAGUCGGCCUAGCCGGACGGCUAGCCCAGCUGAACCCGGAAUGCGCCGGAACACCUCCCCCUCCGACCCCUCGGGCAGCAGUCCGCCUCCACCUCUCAGUGACUCGGGCCCUGGUUCCCCUGCCUCUCCAGACGAGCAGGACAACAAGCCGCUGAAGAAGCGACGGGGCCGCCGACCACGAUGGACGCGCGUGGUGAACCGCUCCCAAAAGGCUGCACAGGAAGCUGCUCUCGGCCAGGCCAAGCCUGGCAUGCCUAUGUCGGCCCUGGGGCCCAAUCCGCCUCUACGGAGACCCGUUGGACGACCCCCUAACCCCAACAAGGUGACCCCCGCUGUCUCGCAGCUCUUUGGCGCCCCACCAAAAAAGAGGGGGCGCCCCAAGUCCAAGAUGCCCCGCCUGGAUGCUCCAGCCCGAGGGAGACCCCCUCUCAAGUUAGCCACCUCCAAGGUGUUCUCCAUCCUCAAGUCCAAAGAAGAACAGGACCCACCGGUACUGCACCCUGAGGUGGACCUCAACCCCCCCAAGCCAAUGCCGCGAAAGCGAGGACGCCCCAAGCGCCUGCCCCCUACGCUGCCCCAGGAAGGGCAGCCCCCCACGUUAGCGCCUGAGCAAGGCGACUCCACCGACAAAGGCUUCCGCAGCAAGGGCAAUGGGCAGCUCAUCAUGAAGACCAUCAUCGGGAAGAUCAACAAGAUGAAGACGGUGAAGCGCAAGCGACUGCUGAGCCAGAUCCUGCUGGGGUCUGGAGUCGGGGCGGAUGGCGAGAGCAGGGGGCCUGCAACCAGUGCGCCCGCCCCGGUGGCAGCAGCCACGCAGUCUCUGUCAUCCCUGGCUGCCACGUUCGGAGGCAAAUUGGGGCCCCAGAUCAAUGUCAGCAAGAAGGGCACCAUAUACAUGGGCAAGAGGAGGGGUCGCAAGCCCAAAGCAUCGGGUAACCCUCCUGCGGGGGCCCCGACACCCCCUCCGGAACCUUUCCUGUCCCCCAACACGUCUUCCCCACACCACCCGCACCCCUCCCAGUCUCUUCAGGGUCAGCAGCACCACCAGCUUCCCCCAACUGAUGUCUUCCCCUCCCCGUCUCUCUCGCAGUCCAGCGGAGGUCAGAGUCCCAUCAGCGAUGCCAGUUUCGUGGAGCCUGGCUCAGUGCACUGCACCCACUGCAGCCACUCACAUCACGGCCACCACUCCUUCCCCUUCGCGCCGCCGACCUUCUCCGCCCCCUCACCGCGCUCGCUGGGGCCAAUGGGAGGCUCUGGCUCGGCCUCUGCCUCCCAGAAGAAGUCUUGCCGCGGCUACCACCAUCACCACCACCACUACCGGACGCACUACCACUACAGGAAGCUGUCGCCUCCGCGGCCCCUGCUUCCCACCUCCCCUGCUCCUCUCAGUGAGCUGAAGGAGGCCACGCCAUCUCCAGUCAGUGAGUCCCACAGCGAGGAGACGGUACCUAGCGACAGCGGUAUCGGCACCGACAACAACAGCACGUCUGACCGUGGCGAGAAGGCAGGAGGGGCAGGACUUGGUGUGGGCGGAAUGCCCCAGGGCGUUGCCAGUGGCCUUCUCCUGCCAGGGGUCAUGGGGUCGGCUGUGGGCAUAGGGCCGGGACUCAGCCCGCGGGGCAGGAAGAGACACGCCUCUUCCGUACUGAUUGACCGCCCCUCUCCUUCCCCCUCUCCUCUGGGGGCACGGCCAUCCCCCGACCCCCGGCGGGCGCACCCUGCUGCCGGUCCGGCUUCGGCACUGGUCGGGCACAAGGAGAAGCACAAGCACAAGUGCAAGCGACGGGGACACGCGUGUCCGGCCUACGACAAGCUGAAGCGGCAGAAGCGCAAGCGCAAGAAGAAGUACCUGCAGCUGCGCUCGCGUCGCCAGGACCCCGACUUCCUGGCCGAGCUGGACGAGAUCUGUGUGGGUCUGAGCGACAUCCGCAUCUCCCACCGUACGCCCGCCAUGCGCCUUGGCAGCAGCCUGGCACUAGGCGCCAGUGCAGGGGGCACGGGUAGGGGUGCGAACCUGGCGGGCGGCCGCAGCAGCGGCAGCAGCAGUGCCAACCCGCCACCCCACCACUACUUGCACAGAGACCUGCUGCCCACCAUCUUCAGGAUCAACUUCAGCGGGUACUACUCGCCCCACCCAGCCUAUCCCUGCGACUCUCUGCACUAUGUCCGCAAGCCUGACCUCAAGAAAAAGCGAGGCAGGCCACCCAAGCUGCGUGAGUCCAUGUCCGAGAUGCCCUUCGUCCCUGGGCUUGGCUUCCCCCUGUCAAGUGGGGGCUUCUACCACCCCUCUUACAGCGUCCCCUACUCCUCCGGACCCCUGGGGUUGGGCUAUUAUCGUGGUUACCCCCCGGCUAGCGCCCUCUACCCCCACCCUCACCACCAGAACCCCCACUCAGCUCCCUCGCACCACCCGCACCACUCGCCCUCCUUCCCACCCCCACCUCCACCCUCCUACAUGCACCACCACCCCUCGCACCUGCUGCUCAACCCCUCCAAAUUCCACAAGAAGAAACACAAGCUGCUGCGCCAGGAGUACCUAGGCGGGGGGCGCUCCCCGGUCCUCUACCCCCCCCAUGGCCCCCGAGCUGUCCUUUGGCUGGCACCACAAACACAAGCACCGGCACAAGCACCGCGAGCGCUGCGCCACCGACGACCAGCUGGAGCACGGCAGCGCCGAGAGGGGAGAGCGCGGGGAAAGGGGUGAGAGAGGAGAGAGAGCAGGAGGAGCAGGAGGUGUAGGAGGAGGAGGAGGAGGAGGAGACGGUGUUGGUCUGGGCAGAGGAGAGAGAGGGGGUGCAGGGGCUAUGGAGGCCCUACAGCACUGUCGGUUUGGGAGAGACGGGUCGGCAGACAGUGCCAGCAAGCAGACGUCUGCAGUGGCCGCGGCUUCGGCUAACUCCCCUUCAUCCUCCUCCUCCUCCUCGGCCGAGCGCUACAAGCGAAAGGAAGCGUCGGCGUCGUGCCUGGGCCCCUCACGCCUGGCCCUUGGCAGCAGAGGCCACGCAUCUGCUGACUCCUGGUUCCGAGUGGGCUCCUCGGAGGCAGACUAUGCCAAACUGUCACACCACUCCGCCUCUGGCCAGCCUGCCUUCGCUGACGGACACUCCGCUGAGCCAAUCGGCUGCUCAGACAGUGAGGAGGACGAGGGCCUCUCCCCGGCGGAGGAAGAGGCAGAGUCGAGCGCACAGCACACCAACCUGUUUGCCUCUGCGCUCACGCGGAGCUCGCUGCGACCGGGCCGUGGCCGGAGGCCUGCCUCCUCGGACGGCAGCAACCUCUCGCGAUUGGACAGAUCCCUCCGGAAGGACCGGUCCACCUCGGCGGAGAGGAGAGAGACAGGUGAGUUGCCCCAGCCUGUCUGUCCCCAGCCUGUCUGUGUGGAUGAAACUACCAGAGAUGAAGAGGCAUCUUUACCGACAUAGUGGUAGUCUCACAAAGCCAGACUCUCAGUGUAAAGUCUGGUAGCCGUGGCUGCUUAAUGAGGCUGAGAAUGGUCAUGGCUGAGAAGAGUCAUGUUGAAAACCUACUGACAAAAGACUGCUGUUAUUUUGCAUGAAGUGUAUGCUUGGCCAAUUCUGAAAUGAAAUUUCUUGAUCAAAACACUCAUCACUGUUGCGUAGUUUGCUAACAAGUGCUAACAGACUUGAAUGAAAGUUGCAAGUGCGCAGAUUCUUCAUGUUUGUUCUUGUGGAUAGACAAUGACUGAUGGUACUAACAUUUGGUUAUCUUAGUGGAAAUAUUAAUAUCAGACGGUCUGUGCCAGUUUGUUGGCUAGCCAUCUGAAGAUGGGUGUAAUGUAGUUGUAGAACUAGGAGAAAAAGCAGACAAUAUGAGCUCAUGUACUGUGGAGAACAUGCAGGUGGUAAGCAGUCUUGUGUGCCUGUGUGCCCUGCUUGCCUUUUCUUUGCUGUAGCUGUGCCUCUUCUGUGCCUGUGCCUCUGUCUGUGCUGUGCUUCCUUUUGCUUGUGCUGGGCCUUUGAUGUAUGUACUGUAUGCGUGCUUUGCCUCUACUUCAUUGCUGUGGGCUUUGCCUCCAUGUGCUCACAGGUGUCUCUCUCUUAGUGUGCCUGUCUGCUAAUCUCCUGCUAUCCCACAAAUCCCACCAGCUUGGCUGAAUGGCAAUAAAAGAGACUUUUAAACUUGGAGUUUGUGACGU